rnacentral:lncRNA from 1 species
GGGGCGGGUGGGAGGAUUUUAUUUUUUAAAUUUUAUUUCAUAUGAAACCCUCGUCAAGAGUUCUUCAUACCGCGGGGUAUAUGCUAGUGGAAAACAAGCUUGUAUAAUAUAUAUACAUGCUGUAUAAGGAAUCCUACACUAUUUUUUAAACUCUUUAAAUAAAAAUCCCCGAUUGGCAACCACUGUUAUACAUGUAAUUGCCGCUUUAGAAACCUAUUUACAGUAUAUACAUCAAAAAGAAGAGAAAUGCUCUCUUCAGUUGGACUAUACCUACACCAAAUUUAUUUUGCUUUCUAAGCAAUGGUUUGUAGUCCCCAUUAAAGCAAUAAAAUGUAUUGGUACAAUUGUAUGCAACACAAGUAUUAUGAGUACAGAAUAAAAUUUAAACUCAGUGUUGAAAGCAAUUAUGAUGUAAAACAUGAACUUAUUAACCAAAAAGUAGUUGGUGUUUAAUGACUAAAUUGAGAGUAUUGGGACAGUUCCUGUGUGUUGUUUGUCAACAAAAACAGCAGCCAUGGGUAAAUAUAAGGGCUUGUUAUAAUUAAAAUGCGUGUUUGUUGACUUUUUUUCCUCAAUACACGGUCAUAAAUCAAACAAGUUCGUGCUUGUGUCAAUUUCUUUAAUCCAGUCAUGUUUUUUGUACCAAUUUGUUCUACAUUUCUUUCGCUUUGGAUAUCAUUCACAGUCCAAAUUUCCUGACACAACUCAUUGUAUAAAUAAAGAAAAAAACACGGUUUUCGAUUCACUUAAUGUGACUACCGCAAUUUGCGUUCAAGGACAAGGCGUUUUACUCGUAACUCGAAUAUUUAAUGCCCUUCUCGUUAUCAAUCUCUAUUCUCGGUAGAUGAUGUUGUCAUCAUAGAGCAGCAGAAUAUGUCGACUUAAUAAUUUUCGUUAGAUUACUCGAAGAAAUACAAAAACGAAAUUGAAACAGGAAGUUUUGAAUGAAACGAAAUUAUUGAUG